rnacentral:tRNA from 1 species
UGUUUGGUGGCCGAGUUUAGGCAAUAGACUGUAGAUUUAUUAACGGAAUUAAAUUUCCCCAACAA